ACAACUGGCCAGUCAGUGGCGGAGCCAGUCCUGAAGUUGACCUCAGUUUGUUGUCUCCUUGAUUUAUCGCAGACCCAGUGUUCCCCAUGUCUGCCCGGGCAUUACUGUGAUGCUGCUGGCCUUCCAGCCCCUACAGGACAGUGUGAAGAAGGAUUCUACUGCACACUGGGAUCCAUUCUUCCCMAAAUCCCAGUUGUAGACAAGACUGGAGGCCCCUGUCCCAGAGGGUAUUUCUGUCCCAAGGGCACAGCUGUUCCAGUGGCUUGUCCAGCAGGGUCAUACAACCCUUCACAAAGGCAAGCCAGCUGCCUCCCCUGUGCUAAAGGGUUCUUCUGCCCAGAAAAUUCCUCUUCCUUUUUGGAGAACGAAUGCUCAACUGGCCACUACUGCCCUGCUGGUACUGCUUCUGCAACUCAGUUCCCGUGCCCUAAAGGGACUUACAACCCACAGACUAGAAGCAGCCUGAUGUCUCACUGCACCCCUUGUGACCCAGGGCACUACUGUGCAUUUGCAGGGCAGCCACAUGUUACAGGGCCCUGUUUGGCUGGAUUCUACUGCAGUGGAGGAGUUUCGAGUCCAACACCUACUGAUGGCCUUCUGGGAAACAAAUGCCCUAAGGGAACUUAYUGCCCUAUGGGCACUGCCUUUCCUCAGCCAUGUCCUCCUGGUUAUUACAGCAACUCAACUGGGAACACUGGGAUUGAGGGCUGUCUCCCGUGUGAUGCAGGGUAUUUCUGCAAUGGAACUGGACUUUUAUCUCCGUCUGGACUAUGUGAAGCUGGAUUCUACUGUAGUGGAGGCACUGUUUCUUCUAAACCCCCCAGGACAACAGUCARUGGAGGACCAUGUCCACCUGGACAUUACUGUGUGGUGGGGAGCAGCAGAGCCCAGCCUUGCCCUGCAGGGAGUUAUAGUCCAACUUGGAGUAUGGCACAAUGUUUGGAGUGCCCAGAAGGCUUUUACUGCAAGACUGCUUCCACAAAUUACACGGAUUGCCCUGCAGGUGGGCCUGAUUGCACCCACCCACUCAUCCUGGGAA
rnacentral:lncRNA from 1 species